ACACCGAUACUUUCGUGAAAUAUCAUAGCGCCUUCAACCCUUUUUCAGCAAAUCCUAUAUAUUACAAAUAUAAGUGGUCGACAUCGAGGGAGAAAGGUUCGAGGCUAGGGUUAGAGUUCGACUCACUCGACGUUGACGGUGAGAGCGAGGGCGGUGCGCUUGCGGGCUUGAGGGGAGCAGACGUAGUAGGCGAGGUCGUUGUCGAGAACGCGAUUUGCCGUGCCCACAGGCUUCAUGGGCAACGAUUCUUAGAAAAUAGAAACUAAUGAAAGGGAAGUCGAAGUAGCGACGUUACAAAGAAGAAAUUAUGAGAUGGAAAGUCGAAGAGACAUACGUUAUGAAAAAAAAUUAAUAAUACGAAAAGCGGAAGAGGUAAACGUUACGGGAAAGGAAAGCCGAAGAGACCGCUUAGCCAUUUGGUUCAAAAGAAGGGCAAGUGAGGGUGAAAGAUAGGCUGUCACGUGGCAAGAUUAGGAAAAAUAAUGUUAAGGUAUAGAUUAUGUAGUAGGUACAACACAUUAUUUAUAACCAGUUAGUUAUAUUUUUCUUUUGAGAGAAAAAUAUAAUAAAAUUAUUUUUUAAAAAAUUAUGAUGAAAUGGAUAAACUACAAAAUAGUAAUUUGAUUAGUUGUAGACAUCAUAUCAGUAAUAUAAUUAUUGCAUUCUAGACUUUUUCCUAAUUUGUCGCGUGCAUUUGUUGUUGGAGUACGAGUGAUUGUAUGGUUCACUAAUUUACAUAGUAGCCUAUCGCUUGUAUUUUGCGGGUGUGUACUACUAUGACCAGUAAGAAAUCCAGCUAGUAAAAUUGUGUCGCUUAUUAAUUGUCCUAUCAAAUUGUUCUUAAUGAUAGGAAUUCCGAAUCGAUAAUCGGAGCCGUUGAAGUUGAUUUAGAGUAUUUAAAAUAUCUAGAAAUUAAAUUUUACAAAUUUUAAAAAUUAUUUACAUGGUGAUCAAAGUGUCAUAAAAUCGACAAUUUUUGACGACUAUAUGAGCCGUUUGCUUGUUUAACGGUGUAGAGUAAUCCAAAUUACUUGAAUUUUUGACAGAAAAUUUUUUAUACUAUUUAGAUAAUGUUUGAUAACUCUGAUUAUGAAUUAAGAAAGUCUAACCUCUAUUUUAAGAAGAUUAUUCAUUUAUAACCGUUUAUUUUUUCGACUAUUCGAUAGACUUGAUAAUGAUUUUUAAAUAUUACAAAAUUUGAUUUCUAAAUAUUUCCAAUUGUAUAGAUCAAUUUCAACAAUGCCGAUCAAUUAUCAAUUUGAAGUUCCGAUCAUUCAAAUCGACUUAAUAGGACAAUAUCCUCAAUCCUAUUAAUAGGAUAGUAGAUGGACUCCAUAUGUAGAGAGGAAGAGAUCAAUUGAGCUUGUAUAUUUUUAAAAGUACCAAAUUAUUAGUGCUUAUAGAUUUUCGGCCCUUAAAUGAAAGAAUGUGCAGUUAGGAUGAUAAUAAUUCUCUAGAAUUAAAUAGAUGGUUGAUGAAAUAGCAUAAUAUAAGGGAUAAAAUUGGUGAAAAGAAUAGAUAUAACUAUGAGAAACUUAUUAGGAACAAAUACUUAGUGUUUUUAAAAACACCAUAGCCGAACUUAUAUAUACAUAUGUGUGUGCGUGAGCGCACGCGAACGUGACGUAGCAAUAAUGUCAAUAUAUCAAAACUAUGUUGUGCAUUGAAUCGGGCUUGUUGGAUUCCAUGCAUGUAAGAAAUUGUAGUAGAGGAAGGUUUAAAAUGCUAAUGUUACUUCCUUCGCCACAGUAAUAGAGAGCGGAUGGUUUUGUCUAAACCAUCCCAACUCUAAAACAAAUUUAAGAAAUUUCUCCUCAAGUGACGUAAUGCUAUGAGCCUAAAUUAGGCAAUUCUUUUUUAAAAAAAAUUAAGGCUAAAAAUCGUUUUUGAAGAUCUUCUAACGCUCCAAACUCGCGGUGGAUCAAACUACAAAUGAGCACGAUCACAAAUUCACCGUUCAAGUCCCUCUAGAAUAAUAGGUUAAUGGAGAAUGUGGUUUCUACGUUUCUUUCUUUUAUUUUCUUUUAUUUUCUUUUUAUUUUCUUUAUUUUAUGUGAAAUCGCCCGCAUAGUUAUAAUUUCUUUUAUUUUCUUAUUUUCUUUCUUUUUUUUUCAUUUUAUGUGAAAUCGCCCGCAUAGCUAUAAGGGAUUUCAAAAUCCUAAUAGAUGCGUAAGAAAUAAGGCCAAAUCGAUUAUUAAUUAUUAUCCUUACCUCUAAUUAACUUUUCAAUUUAAAAGCGAGAUUAAUUCUAAUCUAAUUAGAUAACUUAAUAACCAUCGGAUUGAGCUCGAUCAUGAGUGCAUCUGAUUCGAUUUAACCGAAUGCCAACGAGUAGCACACUGUUUCGUCGUAGUCGUGGCUUGUGCUUGGUCGCAUCCAGCCGGUUAAUGUGAUCGUGGCCUGAAUUGACACGACCCGUAUCACGGUAUCAGCUAUGCCAGCCAGGCUGGACAUCGCAGUGCUUUUUCUUUCCUUUGAUAUUCUUUUAUUUUUUUUCCUUUCUAUCUCAAAUAUAAUGUAAACUAGUUAGAGUUUAAAUAUUUAAAAAAAAAAAAUUUAAGAAGAAAAACUUAUUUACUUAAUAGAAAACAAUACAUAUUUUAUAAACUUAAUAUUAAAAAAGUAAAAUUACAAAAUUUAAAAUAAAUCAUGAAACUAGCUGGCUGUGAUUUAGUAAUGGAGUGUUAUUAAUUUGUUUCUACCUAAGUGAUAAAUAAGGGCGUGCAUGUGCGGAUGUUGCCUAGAUGAGCAAUUAUCCUGCUUGCUUUUACCCUGUGGAGGAAAUUAAUCUAUUGCUAGUGUAGGAAACCGCGCGAUGCUGCGGAUAUAAUCAUAUUUGAUUAAAUUUAAUAAUAUAAAAAAUAUUUUAAAAUUUUUAGAAUAAAAUUAUAAUUUAAUAAAAAAUAACGAAAGAUAGAAAAAAUUAUAGGAGAAAAAAAUAUGUUACAUAGAAAUCGGACCCCUUUGUAUCCUCAUUUAGGGCAUUCACUACUAACACCGAUACUUUCGUGAAAUAUCAUAGCGCCUUCAACCCUUUUUCAGCAAAUCCUAUAUAUUACAAAUAUAAGUGGUCGACAUCGAGGGAGAAAGGUUCGAGGCUAGGGUUAGAGUUCGACUCACUCGACGUUGACGGUGAGAGCGAGGGCGGUGCGCUUGCGGGCUUGAGGGGAGCAGACGUAGUAGGCGAGGUCGUUGUCGAGAACGCGAUUUGCCGUGCCCACAGGCUUCAUGGGCAACGAUUCUUAGAAAAUAGAAACUAAUGAAAGGGAAGUCGAAGUAGCGACGUUACAAAGAAGAAAUUAUGAGAUGGAAAGUCGAAGAGACAUACGUUAUGAAAAAAAAUUAAUAAUACGAAAAGCGGAAGAGGUAAACGUUACGGGAAAGGAAAGCCGAAGAGACCGCUUAGCCAUUUGGUUCAAAAGAAGGGCAAGUGAGGGUGAAAGAUAGGCUGUCACGUGGCAAGAUUAGGAAAAAUAAUGUUAAGGUAUAGAUUAUGUAGUAGGUACAACACAUUAUUUAUAACCAGUUAGUUAUAUUUUUCUUUUGAGAGAAAAAUAUAAUAAAAUUAUUUUUUAAAAAAUUAUGAUGAAAUGGAUAAACUACAAAAUAGUAAUUUGAUUAGUUGUAGACAUCAUAUCAGUAAUAUAAUUAUUGCAUUCU
rnacentral:lncRNA from 1 species